rnacentral:rRNA from 1 species
UACAGAGGUCUCAAGCGUUGUUCGGAUUCAUUGGGCGUAAAGGGUGCGUAGGCGGCGCGGUAAGUCGGAUGUGAAAUCUCGGGGCUUAACUCCGAAACUGCAUUCGAUACUGCCGUGCUUGAGGACUGGAGAGGAGACUGGAAUUUACGGUGUAGCGGUGAAAUGCGUAGAUAUCUGGAGGAACACCGGUGGCGAAGGCGGCGUUCUGGACUGCAACUGACACUGAAAAACGAAAGCCAGGGGAGCAAACGGG